UUGUUAGUGGCAGCCGGGUGAGUAAUGCUCAGGAUCUACCUAGUAGUACGGANUACCCAUUAGAAAUGGUGGGUAAUACUGUAUAAUCCCCGAGGGGGAAAGAUUUAUCGCUAUUAGAUGAGCCUACGUUAGAUUAGCUAGUUGGUGAGGUAAUGGCUUACCAAGGCUAUGAUCUAUAGCUGGUCUGAGAGGACGAUCAGCCACACUGGAACUGAGAUACGGUCCAGACUCCUACGGGGAGGCAGCAGUGGGGAAUAUUGGACAAUGGGCGAAAGCNUGAUCCAGCUAUGCCGCGUGAGUGAAAAAAGNCCUUCGGUUUGUAAANCUCUUUCAAUAGGGAAGAUAAUGCGGGNUNCCUAUAA
rnacentral:rRNA from 1 species